rnacentral:rRNA from 1 species
CAGCAGGCGCGAAAACUUUACAAUGCGGGAAACCGUGAUAAGGGGACACCGAGUGCCAGCAUCAUAUGCUGGCUGUCCGGGUGUGUAAAAUACACCUGUUAGCAAGGGCCGGGCAAGACCGGUGCCAGCCGCCGCGGUAACACCGGCGGCCCGAGUGGUGAUCGUGAUUAUUGGGUCUAAAGGGUCCGUAGCCGGUUUGGUCAGUCCUCCGGGAAAUCUGAUAGCUCAACUAUUAGGCUUUCGGAGGAUACUGCCAGACUUGAAACCGGGAGAGGUAAGAGGUACUACAGGGGUAGGAGUGAAAUCCUGUAAUCCA